rnacentral:lncRNA from 1 species
UAAAAGAGUGACUAAACUCCUAAUUAAGGCGCACAUUGCAGGCCGUAAAUAAAGUAUGUUCAAAUAAAAAAAUAUAUAAAAAAAUUCUUACUCAAACGUCAUACUCAAAUUACCAUCAAUAUAACUGACGCCAUUUACAAAGUAACAAUUCAUAAUAUAUUAAUAUAACUCAUUACAUCAAGCUAGUAAGAUGACCAAACAGAAUUUAAAGCACAUUGAAGUUAGUUACCUAUGCUACAACAGACACUAAAUUUAGGCUAGUUAUGUUUCUUUCAAUAUGCUUCUCCAAAGAGUUCUCCCUUGAAGCCUUUGGUUGAUCACUGCUCCUACUUGUUCUUUGUAACCGCAACCUUGCACAAUAGUAAAACAAAUCAUAUUUGGCUUAUAAAGAUAUGCCAAUCUCAAUCCAGAGCAUAUGAAGCCUAAAGUUACCAACAGAUACAAUAUGAUUAAUUGCUUGCAAGAAAGAGAACAGUACGCCAUCAUCAAAGCCUAAAGCUGCUAGUGGCCAUUGAUUCCACUUGUUCUCUCUUAUAGUGGUCAUUUGAGAAGCUCAAUCAAUGCAGGGGUGGCCACAAACUAAAUUAGGGCUUUAAAGGCCACGAAAUAAAAGAGCUUAAAAGAAAGAGAUGAUGACCUUCAAUCCAUUACCAAGGACUACAAAAGGGUCAAUUUUUAUAUCUGACAUAACCACAUAGAUUGACCCAACUUGUUUUUUAUUACUAUAAAAAGGCACACCCUUCUGUAUAUUGAACUAUUCAAAGUAAACCCAUAUGCUUUGCUCUGUCUUAAUGCAGAUGUUAACCAAUUUUCUAGUGUAUCAGGCAAAAGGAUGCAGCUCAUAUAUGCUAUGUCACUAUGUGUAAUCGAUAACAAAAAGACCAAAGUGUUCUGCUAUAAUGAAUUAUCCUAACAAAAUUGCUUUGGGAAUAAAGGUAAACCAUCAAAAUCUAUCAAACCGAAGCUAAACUAUAUAUAUCCAUGGACCUAUUUAGCCAGCCAUAAUAUAAUCAACAUCAGGAGUCUCAAUCUGCAGGAGUACAUUAUCUAUAAGCAGUAAAAUGAACACGUGACUAGCAAAUUUAAGUAUUACCUUCAAGAAUCAACAUGAGGAUUCUGAAGCAAAUAUGCAGCAUUGAGUAGCCUCCUCAUUCGAAAUAUCAAUUGCGCACAACUCCCGGAUCUCCUUCAGCCUUCAUCUGCUCCUUGUGAAACCUGCACACAAAUCCCCACUCAAGCAUUAACACAAACACCUUCUGGGCACUAAUCUUUUUCGAAACUCACCUCAUACUCAUCACUGAUCUUCUUAAACGUCGCCUUCCCUGAAUCAAGCAGCUCCGAAAUCUACGAAAAACCUCCACCUUCAUGCGUAUUCUGUUCGAUUUGAAAGUGAAUCCAUAAUAACACAGUGCCCAAUACAAAUCACCAAGACUAAAACUUCGAAAACUCACCGAAAGCAAAAGGAGUAAUGAGACAAACCCUCUUCUUCUUGGGUGGUCUGGCCUCGAUAUCUUAGUCGAUUCGGCGGGGGUCGCCGGCUGAGUGGACUCGCUGGCCGAGUUUGAAGUAUAUAUGGGGUUGAUCCCGGUGAGGGUUGCAUUUUCUGAAAGAUGAUCGGUUGUUUGAGAUGUGAAUGGAGAAAACUAAGCGGGACUGUAUCUUUGUUCUGGGCUGGAGUGAUUUGGGUGAAGAAGACGAGGGUGAAGAAUGAAGGAUAAAGAGGGAGAUAAAUGACGAGUAGACGAGGUAUUCCAGAUUUAAGUUGUUUUGUUUUCGGUGGGAUCUUUAUUAAUUUUCUUUCGUUACAAAAAGUGUGGGAAGUUUAAGUGUGGGUAAAAAAAUUGAGCGGGAGCCGAAAAAGAAAAUUUGAGUUUGUGGUGUAGUCAGCUUACAUCAAUUACGGCGUGUAACUAUUGCAUACAAUAAAUAUCUUAUACUUAUUAACAGCGUGCCGUAAAUAACUCAAGACACAAUCUCAUUUACGGUGCACUUCCGAAGCACGUCGUAAAUAACUCUACAUAAUAUUAUAUUUACGGCAUGUUAUAAAUGCACGCUGUAAAUGACCCAUUUUUACAGCACGCAUUGAUGCACGCCGUAAAUUUUAGACGGUAAAAAUCCUAAAUUCUUAUAGUGAGAGUCAUGUACUGCUGGAUCUCAUUUAAAAUGAUUGUAUAAUAAAAAUAGAGUUAGUAAAAUACGGCACGGGAAUUAAACGUUAAAAUUAUGUACAUGAAUAAUUCAGUAAUAACUAGUGAAACGGCCAUAAAAACAUAUUUUGAAAAAUGUAAAAUUUAAUAUGUACUUGUUUAUUAAAACGAAGCAUAAAGAAAAAUACAAACGUGAAAAUACGAAUUAAUAUUGUCAUUUCUAGUACUUAUAUGUAGUAACAUGACAUAUAAAACAUGGGAGGGUUGAAAAAAAGAGAGCAGUUGAGUAAAGCGGCGGCGGCCCUCGGACUAUGUCGUCGUGCCUAGUGAUGCCGUUGUCCAAAUUCCUUUCUUAGUUUUGGGCAAGGAGACGGCUUCGCUAUUGAGGACUGACCAAUUUUAGUGGAUUUCCUUGGAGGAUGUAAUACCCGGAUAAUUUAGAAAUAAUAAAUAAAUACUUUAUAUAUAUAUAAUAAAAUAAUAAUAAUAAUAAAAGUAAAUUUUUUUUGGAAAGGUCGAGAAGAUUUGAGAAAAAGGAGGAAGGAGAGAAUGAGACCAACCUUCUCAAUUAGUGGUUUGAACGACCUCAUCUUUUAGUGGGGGAUCGGAGAACUCUCUCUCCAGAGAGAGAGAGAGCCACGGAAGGACCUGUUCUUGGACACAUCGACUGGGUUUGGUCGGCAUCCACGGUCAGGUCCGGCCUCACCUCGGCGAUGAACUAUAUCGAUUAGGAGCCCUCCGAC